AUGCUUGUUUCUUAGGCAGCGUAUUUACUAAACUUAGGGCGAUACAGAGAAGAUUAGUAUGGCCCUUGUGCAAGGAUGAUAUGCAAGUUUAUGAAGUGUUCCAUAUUUUU